GUUAUAGGGUCAAGCGAACAAGUGCAUGUGGUGGAUGCCUUGGCGAUCACAGGCGAUGAAGGACGCGGUAGCCUGCGAAAAGCUACGGGGAGCUGGCAAACGAGCUUUGAUCCGUAGAUGUCCGAAUGGGGAAACCCACUCCUUUUGGAGUAUCCAUGGCUGAAUACAUAGGCCAUGCGAAGCGAACGCGGUGAACUGAAACAUCUAAGUAACCGCAGGAAAAGAAAUCAACCGAGAUUCCCAAAGUAGUGGCGA
rnacentral:rRNA from 1 species